rnacentral:rRNA from 1 species
UUCCGGUUGAUCCUGCCGGACCCCACUGCUAUCGGGAUAGGACUAAGACAUGCUAGUUGAGCGCUUCAGCCAAAACGAGGCGCGGCGUACAGCUCAGUAACACGUGGCUAAUCUGCCCUUAGGACAGGAACAACCCCGGGAAACUGGGGCUAAUUCUUGAUAUGUGAAGAACUCUGGAAUGAGUCUUCGCUUAAAAGACUUCACGUUAUGCUCGUGAUGUUGCCUAAGGAUGAGGCCGCGACCGAUCAGGUUGUUGGUGAGGUAAUGGCUCACCAAGCCUUUUACCGGUGCGGGCCGUGAGAGCGGGAGCCCGGAGAUGGGCACUGAGACAAGGGCCCAGGCCCUACGGGGCGCAGCAGUCGCGAAAACUUUGCAAUACACGAAAGUGUGACAGGGCUAUCCCGAGUGCCUUCCGCUGAGGGAGGCUUUUACCUAGUAUAGAUCGCUAGGGGAAUAAGGAGAGGGCAAGUCUGGUGUCAGCCGCCGCGGUAAUACCAGCUCUCCGAGUGGUGUGGAUGUUUAUUGGGCCUAAAGCAUCCGUAGCUGGCUAGGUCAGUCCUUUGUUAAAUCCACCGAAUUAAUCGUUGGUUUGCGGGGGAUACUGCUUGGCUAGGGGACGAGAGAGGCAGACGGUAUUUCCGGGGUAGGAGUGAAAUCCUAUAAUCCCGGGAAGACCACCAGUGGCGAAGGCUGUCUGCUAGAACGCGCUCGACGGUGAGGGAUGAAAGCUG